GAAAGAUGGCAUGCUUAGGUGUCUCUAACAAGUCAGGAAGUGCCAGAGACUUUCACAGAAUGGGGGGUGGAAGAUAGUUCUUAAUUUAUUUUGUGUUGAGCUUCUCAACAGCCUGCUCCAACCACAAGUGACAACUGUUUGUCCUGCAGUUUGGCCUGUUUGUCUGUUCCUUCAGAGGGACCUAACCCAGAUUACCACCACACAUCAGUGGGUCUUUCUAACCUCAGACAGUAGAAAUACUACCCCAGCCUCUGCACUGCUGCACAUAUUCCAGCUCUGCAGUCCAAUAUGAAGAUCAUAAAAUGAAUGAAGUGCGGGGAGCAUAGAUCUGUUCAAAAUGUUAUGUAUUCACCCAUUCUUGCUUCACAUAUUUAGCACCAA